UAGUAAAAGAUGGUGUGAAGAAGGAUUUCAAGAGUACCAACUAACCUUUGACCCAUGACAAAGAACCUCAGCACAGGGCAUGAGAACAGAUCAAAGGCAGCAGCAGUCCAUCUCCUGCUUCCAUGUCUCCUUCUGGAAUGUUCUCUCUCCUCAGUGCUAUCUCUUGGAAUGUCUAGCUCACUUCAAGGCUCAGUUCAAUCAGUGCCUUCUAAGAGAAAAAGACAAAUGGAAUCAGAAUGAAAAGAGCCAAUUGGCUUGAUUCCCAGGGGCAGCCAGAAGCUUUUAUAACACAGGACCUAUAAUGCCAAGUUUAAUAUUCUCCCAUAAUUCUCUGAACUGAAAAAUAUUGGGGAAACAUAGAGAUAGGAAGAGGACUGGAGACACUGAGAUCUCUUGAGGGAAAGAGAGACAGAUAGAUAGAAAGACAACUGGAGACAAUGGUAGGGAAAUGAAAAGACAA